rnacentral:tRNA from 9 species
GGCCAGGUAGCUCAGUUGGUAGAGCAGCGGACUGAAAAUCCGCGUGUCGACGGUUCGAUUCCGCCCCUGGCCACCA